rnacentral:rRNA from 1 species
AGCAGCCGCGGUAAUUCCAGCUCCAAUAGCGUAUAUUAAAGUUGUUGCAGUUAAAAGCUCGUAGUUGAAUUUCGGGGUUAGUAGGUUGGUCAUGCCUCUGGUAUGUACUGGUCUCACUGAUUCCUCCUUCCUGAUGAACCUUAAUGCCAUUAAUUUGGUGUUUUGGGGAAUUUGGACUGUUACUUUGAAAAAUUAGAGUGUUUAAAGCAAGCUAACGCUUGAAUACAUUAGCAUGGAAUAAUGAAAUAGGACGUUCGAUCCUAUUUUGUUGGUUUCUAGGAUUGACGUAAUGAUUAAUAGGGAUAGUUGGGGGCAUUAGUAUUCAAUUGUCAGAGGUGAAAUUUCUUGGAUUUUAUUGAAGACUAACUACUGCGAAAGCAUUUUGCCAAGGAUGUUUUUCAUUAAUCAAGAACGAAAGUUUAGGGGAUUCGAAGACGAUCAGAUACCGUCGUAGUCUUAAACCCAUAAAACUAUGCCCGACUAGGAUCGGAUGAUGUAAUUUUUAAACUGACUCAUCGGC